UCCGUAGGUGAACCUGCGGAAGGAUCAGUA
rnacentral:ncRNA from 3 species